ACCUACUAGCUAUGUAAACCUGGGCUCCCUCUCCCGAUUCUUCCUUUGGAGCUUCAUGGUAGGACGGAGGAGAAAGCUGCCACCGGGCUGAAGAAAAAUCAUCCAUAAAUGGGAAAAUGAUUUUCUGGCGCUUCCGAAGAAAUUCAGACUAACCUUUUGGAGCCGGAUAACCUGGGAGCCCCGGGCACGUGCCACGAGAGCCUAUUGGAUUAUCCACUUUCCAUCCCUUGCUCUACCCAGCUCCACUCUCUUUACACAAGCGUAAUACUUGAUGGACACGGAAGACACUGUAAUCCCUUUAUGCCCCGAGGGGAGCAGCCGCAUUGGGUAUUCAAAGAAGAUUAGCAACUCUGGUGUGAGGACUCCUUGAGCCCUUUUCAAGGCAAUUCCCUCUUUUGAUGUCCAUCCAGCUGCCACCCAGCUCUCAUCUAUGGCUUCAAGAAGCUUUAGCAUGCACAGUGGCCACCCCCUGGUAAACCAUCUCAGGAAGUGUGCUAAAACAACUUGAGGGCAACUGACAGCUUCAAACCUGUUGGUGAGUUAGGUGCAUGUCUACCCCAGGCAUGUGAGACCUCCCCUAGCAGAAGGAGUAGAUAAGAACAAUUUGUUCCAAUGGCCAUGAGGGCAGCCGAAACAGGCACUGUUUAGUACUUAGAGUUUCGUUAGACAUUGAAGAAGCCAUGGUCAUCCCCUGCAUCUCAAGCCAUCACCAGUUGUCUUGAUUUCUGUCUUGCUACUGGACUUCAAUGACUGGAAGAGAGAGGCUGACAAUUUUGUGCAACUCUGCCUCAUUUAAAAUCAAUCUAUGUUCAAAUCAAGAGACAUCACCAAUGAUGUAAUUUGGGUCCUCGUGGAGUACAAAAGACAACCACCACCACAACAUUCUGUCAAAAGGUAUGAGACCUGAAUUACUCUAAUCAGACAGUGCUUCUAUUAUCCCCCCUUUUUCCUUUUCUCUACCCCAUCAGACUUCAUAGAAAUUUCAAAGAUUCUGUCCCUUCCCUGACACUCACUUUUCACCAUAUACAUUCCCUUCUUUUCCCUAAACUCAAUCCCUGAAUCCUCUGGGCUCUUCCUUCAAGUCUCAGUGUUAUCCAAAUCCAUCUUGAUAACACUAUACUAGUUGUUCUGCUUUCCAAGCUUGAUCUGCAUGUUUCUUUGUAAGCCAAAGUCUCAUUCUCUCCCCUCUCUGAAUGGCCAAC
rnacentral:lncRNA from 1 species